rnacentral:rRNA from 1 species
AGUGUAGGCGGCUACGUAAGUCGGAUGUGAAAGCCCUGGGCUCAACCUGGGAAUUGCAUUCGAUACUGCGUAGCUAGAGUUUGAUAGAGGUAAGUGGAAUUCCGGGUGUAGCGGUGAAAUGCGUAGAUAUCCGGAGGAACAUCAGUGGCGAAGACGGCUUACUGGAUCAAAACUGACGCUGAGGCUCGAAAGCGUGGGGAGCAAACAGGAUUAGAUACCCUGGUAGUCC